UCCGCUUUUGGCGCUCGCGUGUAAAAUCAAAAUAAAUUUAUACUUUUUUAUUUGGUCAGCACGGGGUGGCCACAGGGGUGGCCAGGGACUUGUCUACAGAGGCACGGGCCACCCUUGGCCUCCGUGUAGAACCGCCACUGCUUUUGCAUCGAUUUUUUUAUGUAUUGUAUACUCCCGCAUGUCUUCACAUAUAAAAAAAACAUGAUAAAACAUAUUUUACUACAGUAAUAUUGUAGUACCUAAAAUAUUAAAGAAUGUUAUGUGUGUAUUAAUGUGUGCAUGUAUGUGUGAUUUAUUAAAGAAGCCCUGAAUAUCUAUAUAUUAUCUAUUCACCUUAUUUUUCACGACAACAAGGGCGGCGCCAUUUCGCUCAUUUUGUCAACGUUCUUCCGGCCGCAUAGACGAUGAGCAGCUGAGGCAGUGACUGAAGGCGACGCGUUAAGCUUAAAAAGCUCACUCGAGCGCCUUUAUGUUUCUUUCUUACCAAUUUUAAGCAAACCGAGGAACACCCUUAUCCCAAGUAAUGGUUCGACUACGAUGUUCCGGUAACUUUAAACCACGCCGGCUGUUGAAAAGGUGGCCAGUUUCAGAUGCAUUGAUGUGUAGUGAUGCAGUGGACAACUGUGAGGAUGAUACAAUCAACAACAUGUUCCUAAACUGUGAUGCAGAAACACAUCCUUCUCUGACCACAACUACACUUUAAAAUCACAACUCAACCUGAAGCAACCUACAUCUGAUAUGGGAAAACAAUGGUGCAGUUUUCCUGACAGGGCUUAUGCUGGUCCCAGGCUAAAAUGCAUAUUUGAGCUACAAUAAUUUAAAAACACCUUUUACUGACAUACCUCAACAUAUAAGAGUGCCAUUGUUUUGUCACAAGAUGCGCACCAGUCUUGUUUUUUUGUAGGGUUUGUUUGUAAAAACUAAAAUGUCCUAAUAUAAUUAAAUCCUAGUCCUGUAAACCCUGUCCGAGAAACUGCUUCAAUGUGUUGAGAUGGCACAAAUGUACAUAUCUCUGCUGAGAAACAACCAUCUUUGUGUCAGCUUUACAGAGGGUUGAUAUUGCAUCCAUUACACAGUCGCCAAGCACUUUACCAGUACAUACACCAACAGCUUCCAGAUAAACACUUGGGAUCAGCUCCUGAUGACUCCGAUAAAGCUGUGUCUUAAUUUAUUGCAGGGUGGUCUUGCUUUACCUGUUGUAAAGUUACAUUAAACCUUCAUAUGUGAUCAGAUGUCAUGCAGUGAUAUUAAACAUUUACAGUGUGAUCAGAUGUUGUAUUAAACCUUUACAAUGUGAUCAGAUGUUGUGUAUUUAUAUUAAACCUUUACAAUGUGA